CCUACGGGAGGCAGCAGUGGGGAAUAUUGGACAAUGGGGGGAACCCUGAUCCAGCCAUGCCGCGUGUGUGAAGAAGGCCCUCGGGUUGUAAAGCACUUUCAGUGAGGAAGAACGCCUGGUGGUUAAUACCCAUCAGGAAAGACAUCACUCACAGAAGAAGCACCGGCUAACUCCGUGCCAGCAGCCGCGGUAAUACGGAGGGUGCGAGCGUUAAUCGGAAUUACUGGGCGUAAAGCGCGCGUAGGUGGCUUGAUAAGCCGGUUGUGAAAGCCCCGGGCUCAACCUGGGAACGGCAUCCGGAACUGUCAAGCUAGAGUGCAGGAGAGGAAGGUAGAAUUCCCGGUGUAGCGGUGAAAUGCGUAGAGAUCGGGAGGAAUACCAGUGGCGAAGGCGGCCUUCUGGACUGACACUGCCACUGAGGUGCGAAAGCGUGGGUAGCAAACAGGAUUAGAUACCCUGGUAGUC
rnacentral:rRNA from 1 species